rnacentral:rRNA from 1 species
CGGACGGGUGAGGAAUACAUCGGAAUCUACUCUGUCGUGGGGGAUAACGUAGGGAGACUUACGCUAAUACCGCAUACGACCUACGGGUGAAAGCAGGGGAUCUUCGGACCUUGCGCGAUUGAAUGAGCCGAUGUCGGAUUAGCUAGUUGGCGGGGUAAAGGCCCACCAAGGCGACGAUCCGUAGCUGGUCUGAGAGGAUGAUCAGCCACACUGGAACUGAGACACGGUCCAGACUCCUACGGGAGGCAGCAGAC